rnacentral:rRNA from 1 species
AGUGAACGCUGGCGGUAGGCCUAACACAUGCAAGUCGAACGGCAGCACAGUAAGAGCUUGCUCUUACGGGUGGCGAGUGGCGGACGGGUGAGGAAUACAUCAGAAUCUACUUUUUCGUGGGGGAUAACGUAGGGAAACUUACGCUAAUACCGCAUACGACCUACGGGUGAAAGCAGGGGAUCUUCGGACCUUGCGCGAUUGAAUGAGCCGAUGUCGGAUUAGCUAGUUGGCGGGGUAAAGGCCCACCAAGGCGACGAUCCGUAGCUGGUCUGAGAGGAUGAUCAGCUACACUGGAACUGAGACACGGUCCAGACUCCUACGGGAGGCAGCAGUGGGGAAUAUUGGACAAUGGGCGCAAGCCUGAUCCAGCCAUACCGCGUGGGUGAAGAAGGCCUUCGGGUUGUAAAGCCCUUUUGUUGGGAAAGAAAAGCAGCAGGUUAAUACCCCGCUGUUCUGACGGUACCCAAAGAAUAAGCACCGGCUAACUUCGUG